UUACUGUCUGUAAUCUGGUUAUACAUGUGUAGAUUGUCUCUUAAGCUAAGCACUAUCAACACAUGACUCAGGCACCCUCAGUGAACAAAAGUGGGUCUCAAAAACCGCCCAUGAUCAAUUCUAGAACAUGGCCAAUACCUCUUAGUGAGCUAUACGUACAUAGUCAAAACCCUCAGUGUAGCAUAGAACACGAUCAAGGCCCUUCAAUGAACUAUCACAUGUCUCACAUUCCAAUUCACAAUACUCCAUAUACAAUCUUUGAAUUCCAUAUAUAUCAUAGUAAAAGAACAUUUUCAUAAUAAUUAUGUAAUUGAACAAAUAGUUCAUAUAAUUGCAUUUAAUGCAAUAACAUAAUUAUUUAUCAAUACUUGAAAAUAUUUAAAUUUGUUCACUCACCAAGUUAUAGAUCAUUCAUGACUUCAUUCUUCUCGUCACUUCCUCGCAUUCAAAUCCCAAGUACGACACAUCACACUCAUCCCAAGAUAUCAUAUCUUUUCAUCAAGAUGCCUUAAUCAUUUUUCCUACUAUUAGAAAUAAUAAUUUACCAAUAGGAACUUGAUAUCUUUUAUUUUCAAUCCCAUAAUCCCAAUUAGGGUCAUUAACAAUACAUACUCCUUUAUAUAAAUUAUUUUAACAUUUAAAUUGAUUUUCAUAAUAAAAUAUCCAAAAAAAUCACAUGAUUGAUAAAACUAGCACUAACAGCAAUGUUUGUUUAUUGAAAAAUGUCUCCAAAAAAUAGCACUCUCUGGACAGAAUUUCAAAAACAGUUCCUGUAGAUGAAUUUUGCACAAAAAUUGAUUAAAAAAAUACCAGAAUCCAACCUCAAAUUCAUAUCCCAUUGUAAUAAAUCAUAAAUCAAGUGUUUUAUAUCAUAUGCACAUAAUAAAUCAAAGAUCCAAGCUCUAAUUUACUAGCCCAUUUCACAUUUCUUGCACUUCAACAUUAAUCUUCUAAUAUAUAUUACUCUUGUUGUUUAGUACGUCAAAUACUUAUCAAUAAUAACUAAUUUUUGCUAAACUUCAAAUAUAAGCAAUUUUCUAUAAACCCAAAAAAUUCAAAUAAUAUAAUUUUUACUUACCUCUUGAAAGUAAGGAGAAUUAAGGAAUGAAAAACCCGUGUUUGAAAGCCAAAAACUAUUCCUUCUUUUUCUUCUUCAUCUUCUUCGCUUGUUCUUCUUCUUCUCCUCCUCCUCUUGUUCUUCUUCCUCUUCUUCUUCUUCUUCCUCUUCCUCUUCUUCUUCGCUUGUUCUUCUC
rnacentral:lncRNA from 1 species